ensembl:lncRNA
GGCAUCUGUAUGUUUAGAGGUUUCUCCAGGUAAAAACGUCUGGUUCCUACUGAUGAAACCUAGAGAUUUUUCAGAUAUGUGGAUUGACCAAUACCCUGGUAAUCUGCCCAUCUUUCACAUUCCUAAGGGUGCUGUGCUCAGUAAGUCACCACAGAUUCCUUCAGUCUGGCACUCUGAUCCCCUUUCCCUGUCUCUGCAGCCUAUUAUAGUAAUUACUUUCUCCUGUUUCCCACACCAGGAUUCCAUUAUUGCCAUUGAAUCAGGACCCAAUUCCACAGCAUCAUCCCCUGCCCCAUCUCUGGCAUAGAGACACCCCUGCACCUCUGUAGAGCUUUCUAAGGUAGAGCUUUCUCUCACUAGGGCAUUUCUUGAACGGGGGAACAUCAUAUGAGUCUUCCAAAGUGGGGGUGGGGGUGGAACAGGGGUGGGGCUGGUUGGACACUUUGCAAGUAAUAGAUCCACUCCAACACUCCCACCUCCCCAAGCUUUUGGACUACUUGCUCUUCCAAGGGCAGUUGUGGCAUUUCAACCUCAUUUACUGGAUCAGUGAACCAGCUGAGGGAACUGUUCUGCAAAGGUUCUCAAGCUUGGUGCUUAUUAGAACCAUCUGGGGCCAUUAAAAAAUUCCUGAUGCCCAGGCUACACCUCAGAAAAAUUAAAAUCAGAAUCUCUGAAGGUAGAUCCCAGCAUCAUUGGUAUUUUUUAAAGGUUAUUCCAAUGUGCUGCCAAGGCUAAGACCACUGUGUUAGGCUUAGGAGAGUGUACCCAUAUCAAUACAUUCAAUCCCAUCCAAUCUUCUAUUUUGUGUUCCUUGAUCCAAUCUAUUUCUACCUGUGUUUCCCAGGAUCCUGCUUGUUAUGGACUGAAUUGUGUCAACUCAAAAUUCAUACAUUGAGGUCUGACCCUCAGAGUCUCACAAUGGGAUGGUAUUUGGAAAUAGGGUAUUUAAAAUGAGGUCUUAUGGGCGGGUCCUAAUCCAGUAACUGGUAUUCUUAUAAUAAGGGAAGAGAAAAAUGCAGAAACACACAGAAGAAAGACCUUGUGAAGACACAGGGAGAAGAUGGCCAUCUACAAGCCAAGAAGAAAGGCAUCAGAAUGUAACCAACUCUCUGGACACCUUGAUCUUGGACUACUAGCCUCCAGAACUAUUCGCCCUGAGCUAACAUCUGUGCCAUCUUCUUCUACUUUAUUUGUGGGAAGCCUGCCACAGCAUGACUUGAUCAGCCGUGCAUAGGUUUGUACCGGGUAUCCGAACCAGCGAACCCUGGGCUGCUGAAGCAGAGCACAUGAACUUAACCACUGCACCACUGGGCUGCCCGCUGGAAUCUUGUGGGAGAGUCUGCCUGACAGGAGGGAGGCAGCAGGAAACAAAUACCCCAAUUUCUCUCUCUUCCCUUGCUCCCAUCUCUGUCUACUUCCCCUCAGCCAAGAGGAAGACAGCUGAAGGAGAAUCCAAUGAUCCAGUCCACAGGGGUCAGCUUUCCAGGACACAGAGCCGGGGAAGAAUGGAUUUAGAGAGUGGGACUAAGGGAAACUAAGUAGCAGGGUGAGUCAUCCCCAUAUGAACCCUGGACCCCUGGUGCACACGACUUACCACUUAAUCUAGUUCAACCUUUCAAUUCAACCGUUUCUAUAACUCAACCAAAGCCAAAGAACUGGUCAGUGGUAGAGCCAGCAUUAAAACCAGUCUUUUGAUCCCACACGCUGUGCUCUUCCCGCCUCACCAACAGGACUCGAGGCUGACGAACUGAACGCGCCGUAGGAAACAGACCGGGAGGUGUGUUUGUGAGUUUCUCUCUCUGUUGUGGGGUUGUGGUAGGGGGAUUCUGGAAAUGAGGGAAGAAGUUCAGAGCUUGUUGCAAGAACCUAGAUAUGAAACUAUAAAACACAGGAGGGGGUGGAGGCCCCAGGAGUAGAAAUGAGGGAAUAGAUCGUGAAAACCUCUGAUAGGAAGAAUUGCUGUGAUUUCUUGAGGGGAAAGAGGGAUGAGGGUUUAUCAAAAGUGGAUAAUGCCUGAAGGGGGAGCCUAUUUGGGCGUGUGGGGAAGGAAGAAUUGACAUGUGUUUCCAGCUGCAGCACAGAGGGGAACAGCGGGGUUCUAAAUGCCAGAGAAACAGAGGUCAGCCCGGUCGCCUCAUUCCUGGAGGCGGCAGCCUCUGGCUGCUGAUUCUGGCAGCCAUGUACCUGUGGUUCUCUCUUGCUCUUUCACUUGGCACCACUUGUGACAACAGCAUACUCUGGAGGGAUACCUGGCCGGGGUUCAGGUGAAGUGAACGAUAAAGGUGACUGGCUCCCACAAGGCCAGUCUGUGCUGCUGACCUCCAUACACCAGAGUGGGAUCAGAUCCAGCUGGGCUUGAGUCUCAAUCCUGCCACCACUGUCCAGGCAACCUUGGACACACCCAGAAUCCCCUGGAGCCUUUGAGGCCUCAACUCUGAACCGGGAGUAAUAAAUAAUAUCCACCUUUUUAUCACUAUUUUAGACUUUCUAACCAAAUCAACUAACUUGCCACAAAUUUACAACAGUGACUUAAGGUGAAUAAAGAAAAUAUGGGCAUCUCCUUUCCCAGCCCAGGAAGCAGAAGAGUUUCAGCUUUUUUAUGAAAAGCACAAACUGAUGAAAAGAGGAGUUUGUUAAGUUAAAUUGUGAGACCAGCUCUGCGAGGAGAGAGCAAUCGCUAGUGUAAGAGAAGGUGGCAGCUUUAGUCAAAUAUAUUUCACUUCCUGAUAUGCUUCAAGAAUCAAUAAAUAUUAUCUUUUUCUAAGGUGUGCUUAGAUAACUGUUUUUACAUAGAAAUGGGAUGUUUCACCAGAUAAGCAUUCACACAUAUUUUUGGAUCCUCUGGAAUUCCUCCUCAAGAAGGAAAUUGUAGGUUUGUUAUUUGGGAAGCUUUCUUCACAGCGAAACUUAUCCUUUUAUAGUGAAUAUUCUCAAGAGACAGGUUGGAAAGUCCAACGUUUAGGCUAUUUCAAAGCUAUCCUACCUUUUUGCUCAGAAGUUGAAUGUGAAGGCAAUUCCCGCCCUCAGAAGGAAGAAUGAUAUUAAGACAUUCAAUUUUUUCACUUUCCACAUCUUUUCCAUUUAUUUUUGUUUCCCAUGAUAGACACUAAGUGGUCCAGAAAAAGCCAAAACUUGGAUUUCAAAUGAUCUCAAUAUCUUCCUGAGUUUUUAGCACCUAAAGUCAAUGGAUAGGCUGAUAUUUGUUAGUUCUGUAGUGUUCAAUGAAGCAAUUAUUACUGAAAAAUGGCAAGUUAACUGAAAAGCAAGUUAAAAUUCAU